AAGUCGUAACAAGGUUUCCGUAGGUGAACCUGCGGAAGGAUCAUUACCGAGUUAGGGUGUCGACUAUUCGCGCCCGACCUCCAACCCUUUGUUUACUUAACCAAACGUUGCUUCGGCAGGCCCGCCGGACCUUCACGGUCUGGCCGCCGGGGGUCGAGAGACUCCGGGCCCGCGUCUGCCGACGGCCCUCCUCAAAACUCUUGUCGAAACGUGUCGUCUGAGUCUUUAUGAUUAAAAAUCAAAAACAAAACUUUCAACAACGGAUCUCUUGGUUCUG
rnacentral:misc_RNA from 1 species